rnacentral:rRNA from 1 species
AACGAACGCUGGCGGCAGGCCUAACACAUGCAAGUCGAACGCCCGUAGCAAUACGGGAGUGGCAGACGGGUGAGUAACGCGUGGGAACGUGCCCUUCGGUUCGGAAUAACUCAGGGAAACUUGAGCUAAUACCGGAUACGUCCGUAAGGAGAAAGAUUUAUCGCCGAAGGAUCGGCCCGCGUCGGAUUAGCUAGUUGGUGAGGUAACGGCCCACCAAGGCGACGAUCCGUAGCUGGUCUGAGAGGANGAUCAGCCACACUGGGACUGAGACACGGCCCAGACUCCUACGGGAGGCAGCAGUGGGGAAUAUUGGACAAUGGGCGAAAGCCUGAUCCAGCCAUGCCGCGUGAGUGAAGAAGGCCUUAGGGUUGUAAAGCUCUUUCAGCGGGAAGAUAAUGACGGUACCCGCAGAAGAAGCCCCGGCUAACUUCGUGCCAGCAGCCGCAGUAAU